UAUCGGGCCUGUUGCGGGUGAUCGCUAUGAACUGCGUCAGGAUCGGAAGGUAGCAGCGCUAAGUGGAUGAUUACGGCGCCGGCAGUCACCUGAUACCC
rnacentral:SRP_RNA from 1 species